CAUAUCAAUAAGCGGAGGAAAAGAAACCAACAGGGAUUGCCCCAGUAACGGCGAGUGAAGCGGCAACAGCUCAAAUUUGAAAUCUGGCCCCCGGGUCCGAGUUGUAAUUUGUAGAGGAUGCUUUUGGCGAGGUGCCUUCCGAGUUCCCUGGAACGGGACGCCAUAGAGGGUGAGAGCCCCGUCUGGUCGGACACCGAGCCUCUGUAAAGCUCCUUCGACGAGUCGAGUAGUUUGGGAAUGCUGCUCAAAAUGGGAGGUAUAUGUCUUCUAAAGCUAAAUAUUGGCCAGAGACCGAUAGCGCACAAGUAGAGUGAUCGAAAGAUGAAAAGCACUUUGAAAAGAGGGUUAAAAAGUACGUGAAAUUGUUGAAAGGGAAGCGCCUAUGACCAGACUUGGGCCCGGCGAAUCAUCCAGCGUUCUCGCUGGUGCACUUCGCCGGGCACAGGCCAGCAUCAGUUUGGCGCGGGGGAAAAAGGUUUCGGGAAUGUGGCUCCCCCGGGAGUGUUAUAGCCCGUUGCGUAAUACCCUGCGCCGGACUGAGGUACGCGCAUCGCAAGGAUGCUGGCGUAAUGGUCAUCAGCGACCCGUCUUGAAACACGGACCAAGGAGUCGUCUUCGUAUGCGAGUGUUCGGGUGUCAAACCCCUACGCGGAAUGAAAGUGAACGCAGGUGAGAGCUUCGGCGCAUCAUCGACCGAUCCUGAUGUUCUCGGAUGGAUUUGAGUAAGAGCAUACGGGGCCGGACCCGAAAGAAGGUGAACUAUGCCUGUAUAGGGUGAAGCCAGAGGAAACUCUGGUGGAGGCUCGCAGCGGUUCUGACGUGCGAAUCGAUCGUCAAAUAUGGGCAUGGGGGCGAAAGACUAAUCGAACCUUCUAGUAGCUGGUUUCCGCCGAA
rnacentral:rRNA from 1 species